rnacentral:rRNA from 1 species
GGAUGAACGCUAGCGGCAGGCCUAACACAUGCAAGUCGAACGGUAACAGCAGAGCUUGCUCUGGCUGACGAGUGGCGCACGGGUGCGUAACGCGUAUGCAACCUACCUUUAACUGAGGGAUAGCCCAGGGAAACUUGGAUUAAUACCUCAUAACAUUAUGAUUCCUCAUGGGAUUAUAAUUAAAGCUUCGGCGGUUAAGGAUGGGCAUGCGUCCUAUUAGUUAGUUGGUGAGGUAACGGCUCACCAAGACUCCGAUAGGUAGGGGGCCUGAGAGGGUUGUCCCCCACACUGGUACUGAGACACGGACCAGACUCCUACGGGAGGCAGCAGUGAGGAAUAUUGGUCAAUGGACGAAAGUCUGAACCAGCCAUGCCGCGUGCAGGAUGAAUGCCCUACGGGUUGUAAACUGCUUUUAUAUAGGAAGAAACCCGAGAACGUGUUCUCGGCUGACGGUACUAUAAGAAUAAGGACCGGCUAACUCCGUGCCAGCAGCCGCGGUAAUACGGAGGGUGCAAGCGUUAUCCGGAUUCAUUGGGUUUAAAGGGUCCGUAGGCGGGUUUUUAAGUCAGUGGUGAAAUCCUACAGCUCAACUGUAGAACUGCCAUUGAUACUGGAAACCUUGAGUGUGAUUGAAGUGGGCGGAAUGUGUCAUGUAGCGGUGAAAUGCAUAGAUAUGACACAGAACACCGAUUGCGAAGGCAGCUCACUAAGUCACAACUGACGCUGAGGGACGAAAGCGUGGGUAGCGAACAGGAUUAGAUACCCUGGUAGUCCACGCUGUAAACGAUCAUCACUCGCUGUUGGCGAUACACAGUCAGCGGCCAAGCGAAAGCGUUAAGUGAUGCACCUGGGGAGUACGGUCGCAAGAUUGAAACUCAAAGGAAUUGACGGGGGCCCGCACAAGCGGUGGAGCAUGUGGUUUAAUUCGAUGAUACGCGAGGAACCUUACCAGGGCUUAAAUGCAGAAUGACAGGAUGGGAAAUCAGUUUUUCUUCGGACAUUUUGCAAGGUGCUGCAUGGUUGUCGUCAGCUCGUGCCGUGAGGUGUCAGGUUAAGUCCUAUAACGAGCGCAACCCCUAUCUUUAGUUGCCAGCGGUUCGGCCGGGGACUCUAAAGAAACUGCCAGCGCAAGCUGUGAGGAAGGUGGGGAUGACGUCAAAUCAUCACGGCCCUUACGUCCUGGGCUACACACGUGCUACAAUGGUAACGACAGAGGGCAGCCACUACGCGAGUAGGAGCGAAUCCUUAAACGUUAUCUCAGUUCGGAUUGGAGUCUGCAACUCGACUCCAUGAAGCUGGAAUCGCUAGUAAUCGCGCAUCAGCCAUGGCGCGGUGAAUACGUUCCCGGGCCUUGCACUCACCGCCC